rnacentral:rRNA from 1 species
GACCUCGGAUCAGGUAGGGAUACCCGCUGAACUUAAGCAUAUCAAUAAGCGGAGGAAAAGAAACCAACUGGGAUUGCCUCAGUAACGGCGAGUGAAGCGGCAUCAGCUCAGAUUUGAAAUCUGGUUCUUUCAGAGCCCGAGUUGUAAUCUGUAGAGGAGUCUUCGGGUUUGGAUCUGGCCUAAGUUUCUUGGAACAGAACGUCAUAGAGGGUGAGAGUCCCGUAUGAGGCCAGCUACCUAUUCCCAUGUGAAGCUUCUUCGACGAGUCGAGUUGUUUGGGAAUGCAGCUCAAAAUGGGUGGUAAAUUUCAUCUAAAGCUAAAUAUUGGCGGGAGACCGAUAGCGCACAAGUAGAGUGAUCGAAAGAUGAAAAGCACUUUGAAAAGAGAGUUAAAAAGUACGUGAAAUUGUUGAAAGGGAAACGC